rnacentral:rRNA from 1 species
GACGAACGCUGGCGGCGUGCCUAAUACAUGCAAGUCGAGCGAAAAGACGCGGAGCUUGUUGCUCUCACGUUUGCCGAGGACGGGUGAGUAACACGUGGAUAACCUACCUAUCAGACUGGGAUAACUUCGGGACACCGGCGAUAAUCCCGGAUGAUAUCUUGAACCACAUGGUUCAUUAGUAAAUGACGGUUUUGCUGUCACUACUCGAUGGAUACGCGCCGCUUUAGCUAGUUGGUAAGGUCACGGCUUAUGAAGGCAACGAGGCGUAGCCGACCUGAGAGGGUGGUCGGCCACACUGGAACUGGGACACGGUCCAGACUCCUACGGGAGGCAGCAGUAGGGAAUCUGCCGCAAUGGGCGAAAGCUUGACGGAGCAACGCCACGUGAGUUAUGAAGGUCUUCGGAGCGUAAUACUCUGUUAUUAGGUAAGAACAAAUGUGUAAGGAACUAUGCACGGAUUGACGGUACCGAAUCAGAAAGCCACGGCUAACUACGUG